rnacentral:rRNA from 1 species
UACCGGAUAACAUUUUGAACCGCAUGGAUCGAAAUUGAAAGGCGGCUUCGGCUGUCACUUAUGGAUGGACCCGCGUCGCAUUAGCUAGUUGGUGAGGUAACGGCUCACCAAGGCAACGAUGCGUAACCGACCUGAGAGGGUGAUCGGCCACACUGGGACUGAGACACGGCCCAAACUCCUACGGGAGGCAGCAGUAGGGAAUCUUCCGCAAUGGACGAAAGUCUGACGGAGCAACGCCGCGUGAGUGAUGAAGGCUUUCGGGUCGUAAAACUCUGUUGUUAGGGAAAAACAAGUGCUAAUUGAAUAAUCUGGCACGUUGACGGAACCUAACCAUAAAGCCCCGGCUAAC